rnacentral:rRNA from 1 species
UACGAAGGGGGCUAGCGUUGUUCGGAAUCACUGGGCGUAAAGCGCACGUAGGCGGACUUUCAAGUCAGGGGUGAAAUCCCGGGGCUCAACCUCGGAAUUGCCUUUGAUACUGUAGGUCUCGAGUCCGGAAGAGGUGGGUGGAAUUCCUGAGUGUAGAGGUGAAAUUCGUAGAUAUUCGGAAGAACACCAGUGGCGAAGGCGGCUCACUGGACCGGCAUUGACGCUGAGGUGCGAAAGCGGUGGGGAGCAAACAGG